rnacentral:rRNA from 1 species
GACAGAGGGUGCAAACGUUGUUCGGAUUUACUGGGCGUAAAGGGCUCGUAGGCGGCCAACUAAGUCGGAUGUGAAAUCCCCAGGCUUAACCUGGGAACUGCAUCCGAUACUGGAUGGCUUGAAUCCGGGAGAGGGAUGCAGAAUUCCAGGUGUAGCGGUGAAAUGCGUAGAUAUCUGGAGGAAUACCGGUGGCGAAGGCGGCAUCCUGGACCGGCAUUGACGCUGAUGAGCGAAAGCUAGGGGAGCAAACGGG